rnacentral:guide_RNA from 1 species
AUACUACCUACAAACUAUCAGAUACGGUUGAUUUAUUGAUGAUUAAAU